rfam:Schistosoma rodhaini strain Burundi genome assembly, scaffold: SROB_scaffold0003060
GCACUGCUGAGGAUUCUCACAAUAGGACGAAACGGCCGUCCAGUGC